rnacentral:rRNA from 1 species
CGCAUACGACCUACGGGAGAAAGGGGGCAGUUUACUGCUCUCGCUAUUAGAUGAGCCUAAGUCGGAUUAGCUAGUUGGUGGGGUAAAGGCCUACCAAGGCGACGAUCUGUAGCUGGUCUGAGAGGAUGAUCAGCCACACCGGGACUGAGACACGGCCCGGACUCCUACGGGAGGCAGCAGUGGGGAAUAUUGGACAAUGGGGGGAACCCUGAUCCAGCCAUGCCGCGUGUGUGAAGAAGGCCUUUUGGUUGUAAAGCACUUUAAGCAGUGAAGAAGACCUAACGGUUAAUACCCGUUAGCGAUGACAUUAGCUGCAGAAUAAGCACCGGCUAACUCUGUGCCAGCAGCCGCGGUAAUACAGAGGGUGCAAGCGUUAAUCGGAAUUACUGGGCGUAAAGCGAGCGUAGGUGGCUUGAUAAGUCAGAUGUGAAAUCCCCGGGCUUAACCUGGGAACUGCAUCUGAUACUGUUAAGCUAGAGUAGGUGAGAGGGAAGUAGAAUUCCAGGUGUAGCGGUGAAAUGCGUAGAGAUCUGGAGGAAUACCGAUGGCGAAGGCAGCUUCCUGGCAUCAUACUGACACUGAGGCUCGAAAGCGUGGGUAGCAAACAGGAUUAGAUACCCUGGUAGUCCACGCCGUAAACGAUGUCUACUAGUCGUUGGGUCCCUUGAGGACUUAGUGACGCAGCUAACGCAAUAAGUAGACCGCCUGGGGAGUACGGCCGCAAGGUUAAAACUCAAAUGAAUUGACGGGGGCCGCACAAGCGGUGGAGCAUGUGGUUUA